AGUGAACGCUGGCGGUAGGCCUAACACAUGCAAGUCGAACGGCAGCACAGUAAGAGCUUGCUCUUACGGGUGGCGAGUGGCGGACGGGUGAGGAAUACAUCGGAAUCUACUUUUUCGUGGGGGAUAACGUAGGGAAACUUACGCUAAUACCGCAUACGACCUACGGGUGAAAGCAGGGGAUCUUCGGACCUUGCGCGAUUGAAUGAGCCGAUGUCGGAUUAGCUAGUUGGCGGGGUAAAGGCCCACCAAGGCGACGAUCCGUAGCUGGUCUGAGAGGAUGAUCAGCCACACUGGAAGUGAGAAACGGUCCAGACUCCUACGGGAGGCAGCAGUGGGGAAUAUUGGACAAAGGGCGCAAGCCUGAUCCAGCCAUACCGCGUGGGUGAAGAAGGCCUUCGGGUUGUAAAGCCCUUUUGUUGGGAAAGAAAAGCAGCAGGUUAAUACCCCGCGGUUCUGACGGUACCCAAAGAAUAAGCACCGGCUAACUUCGUG
rnacentral:rRNA from 1 species